rnacentral:rRNA from 1 species
CCUGACGUAGACGCUAUUCCCUAAGAUUAACCCAUGCAUGUUUUUGAAGAUUAUUAUCUGAAAAAUGGACUGCUCAGUAAUACUCACUUUAUUUUAUGUGCACCGCAGAUAACUACGUUAAAGUGUAGAUAACAUGUGUACAGUAAGAGUGAGACCUAUCAGCUAGUUGUUAGGGUAAUGGCUUAACAAGGCAGUGACGGGUAACGGUAUUACUUUGUAAUAUUCCGGAGAAGGAGCCUGAGAGACGGCUACUAAGUCUAAGGAUUGCAGCAGGGGCGAAACUUGACCUAUGGAUUUUAUCUGAGGCAGUUAUGGGAAGUAAUAUAUUAUUGUUUCAUAUUUUAAAAAUAUAUGAGGUGAUUAAUUGGAGGGCAAAUCAAGUGCCAGCAGCCGCGGUAAUACUUGUUCCAAGAGUGUGUAUGAUGAUUGAUGCAGUUAAAAAGUCCGUAGUUUAUUUUU